GGAAUAUUGGUCAAUGGGUGAGAGCCUGAACCAGCCAUGCCGCGUGCAGGAAGACGGCGUUCUGCGUUGUAAACUGCUUUUAUACGGGAAGAAAAGGCCCAUGCGUGGGACAUUGCCGGUACCGUAUGACUAAGCACCGGCUAACUCCGUGCCAGCAGCCGCGGUAAUACGGAGGGUGCGAGCGUUGUCCGGAUUUAUUGGGUUUAAAGGGUGCGUAGGCGGCGUUAUAAGUCAGCGGUGAAAGUUUCCGGCUCAACCGGGGAAUUGCCGUUGAAACUGUGGUGCUUGAGUUCCGACGGGGUACAUGGAAUUUAUGGUGUAGCGGUGAAAUGCAUAGAUACCAUAAGGAACACCGAUAGCGAAGGCAUUGUACUUGUCGGCGACUGACGCUGAGGCACGAAAGCGUGGGUAGCGAAC
rnacentral:rRNA from 1 species